CCUACGGGAGGCAGCAGUGGGGAAUAUUGGGCAAUGGGCGCAAGCCUGACCCAGCAACGCCGCGUGAAGGAAGAAGGCUUUCGGGUUGUAAACUCCUUUUUUCAGGGACGAAGCAAGUGACGGUACCUGAGGUAUAAGCCACGGCUAACUACGUGCCAGCGGCCGCGGUAAUACGUAGGUGGCAAGCGUUAUCCGGAUUUACUGGGUGUAAAGGGCGUGUAGGCGGGAAAGCAAGUCAGUUGUGAAAACUAUGGGCUCAACCUGUGGACUGCAUUUGAAACUGGUAUUCUUGAGUACUGGAGAGGCAGGCGGAAUUCCUGGUGUAGCGGUGAAAUGCGUAGAUAUUAGGAGGAACACCAGUGGCGAAGGCAGUCUGCUGGACAGCAACUGACGCUGAGGCGCGAAAGCGUGGGGAGCAAACAGGAUUAGAUACCCGAGUAGUC
rnacentral:rRNA from 1 species